CCUACGGGUGGCAGCAGUGAGGAAUAUUGGUCAAUGGACGAGAGUCUGAACCAGCCAAGUAGCGUGAAGGAUGACUGCCCUACGGGUUGUAAACUUCUUUUAUAUGGGAGUAAAAUGUUUCACGUGUGGGAUUUUGUAUGUACCAUAUGAAUAAGGAUCGGCUAACUCCGUGCCAGCAGCCGCGGUAAUACGGAGGAUCCGAGCGUUAUCCGGAUUUAUUGGGUUUAAAGGGAGCGUAGGUGGAUUUUUAAGUCAGUGGUGAAAGUCUGCGGCUCAACCUUAAAAUUGCAGUUGAAACUGGCAGACUAGAGUACAGUAGAGGUGGGCGGAAUGCGUGGUGUAGCGGUGAAAUGCUUAGAUAUCACGAAGAACUCCGAUUGCGAAGGCAGUUCACUGGACUGCAACUGACACUGAUGCUCGAAAGUGUGGGUAUCAAACAGGAUUAGAUACCCUAGUAGUC
rnacentral:rRNA from 1 species